AGAGUUUGAUCCUGGCUCAGAACGAACGCUGGCGGCGUGCUUAACACAUGCAAGUCGAACGCGAAAGGGACUUCGGUCCUGAGUAAAGUGGCGCACGGGUGAGUAACGCGUAGAUAACCUGUCUUUGUGUCUGGAAUAAUACUUCGAAAGGGGUACUAAUACCGGAUAACCUUGCUUUUCACAAGUUAUGCAAGCAAAGGUGGCCUCUGAUACAAGCUACUGCAUGAAGAGGGGUCUGCGUACCAUUAGCUAGUAGGUGGGGUAAUGGCCUACCUAGGCGACGAUGGUUAGCGGGUCUGGGAGGAUGAUCCGCCACACUGGCACUGGAACACGGGCCAGACUCCUACGGGAGGCAGCAGUGAGGAAUAUUGCGCAAUGGGGGCAACCCUGACGCAGCGACGUCGCGUGAGUGAGGAAGGCCUUCGGGUCGUAAAGCUCUGUCAAGAGGAAAGAAGUGCAUAAUGGUUAAUACCUGUUAUGUUUGACGGUACCUCUAAAGGAAGCACCGGCUAACUCCGUGCCAGCAGCCGCGGUAAUACGGAGGGUGCAAGCGUUGUUCGGAAUCACUGGGCGUAAAGGGCGCGCAGGCGGUAUGGUAAGUCAGAUGUGAAAGCCCACGGCUUAACCGUGGAAGGGCAUUUGAAACUGCCAGACUUGAGUACCAGAGGGGAAAGUGGAAUUCCCGGUGUAGAGGUGAAAUUCGUAGAUAUCGGGAGGAAUACCGGUGGCGAAGGCGACUUUCUGGCUGAGUACUGACGCUGAGGCGCGAAAGCGUGGGGAGCAAACAGGAUUAGAUACCCUGGUAGUCCACGCCGUAAACGAUGUCAACUAGAUGCAGGGGGUGUUGAUCCCCUCUGUGUCGCAGCUAACGCAUUAAGUUGACCGCCUGGGGAGUACGGUCGCAAGAUUAAAACUCAAAGGAAUUGACGG
rnacentral:rRNA from 1 species